CCUACGGGAGGCAGCAGUGGGGAAUUUUGGACAAUGGACGCAAGUCUGAUCCAGCAAUGCCGCGUGCAGGACGAAGGCCUUCGGGUUGUAAACUGCUUUUGUACGGAACGAAACGGUCUUCUUUAAUACAGAGGGCUAAUGACGGUACCGUAAGAAUAAGCACCGGCUAACUACGUGCCAGCAGCCGCGGUAAUACGUAGGGUGCGAGCGUUAAUCGGAAUUACUGGGCGUAAAGCGUGCGCAGGCGGUUAUAUAAGUCAGAUGUGAAAUCCCCGGGCUCAACCUGGGACCUGCAUUUGAGACUGUAUAGCUAGAGUACGGUAGAGGGGGAUGGAAUUCCGCGUGUAGCAGUGAAAUGCGUAGAUAUGCGGAGGAACACCGAUGGCGAAGGCAAUCCCCUGGACCUGUACUGACGCUCAUGCACGAAAGCGUGGGGAGCAAACAGGAUUAGAUACCCUGGUAGUCCACGCCCUAAACGAUGUCAACUGGUUGUUGGGUCUUCACUGACUCAGUAACGAAGCUAACGCGUGAAGUUGACCGCCUGGGGGAGGUACGGUCCGGCGAGUUAGUUAACGUACGAAAGAAGUAGUUAGCGNGNGAGAGCGACGACGACGACGACGGAGGAGGAG
rnacentral:rRNA from 1 species